UUCGGUGACGAUAGCAAAGAGGCAACACCCGUUCCCAUCCCGAACACGGAAGUAAAGCUCUUUAGCGCCGAUGGUACUGCUCGGGCAGCCGGGUGGGAGAGUAGGACGUUGCCGAAA
rnacentral:rRNA from 1 species